GCCGAAGUAGCUCAGCGGUAGAGCAACGCUUUCGUAAAGCGUGGGUCGUGGGUUCGAUUCCCACCUUCGGCU
rnacentral:tRNA from 1 species